rnacentral:tRNA from 1 species
UGCGGGAUCGCCAAGUCGGUAAAGCCCGGAGUUUGGAACCCCGCACGCGCAGGUUCUUGUCCUGCUCCCGCAA